GACGAACGCUGGCGGCGUGCUUAACACAUGCCAGUCGAACGAAGUGGCGAACGGGUGAGUAACGCGUAAUCAACCUGCCCUUCAGAGGGGGACAACAGUUGGAACCGACUGCUAAUACCGCAUACUGCAGGAGGGGACUGCGUCUGAUUAGCUGGUUGGAGGGGUAACGGCCCACCAAGGCGAUGAUCAGUAGCCGGACUGAGAUGAGAAACGGCGACGUUGGGACUGAGACACGGCCCAGACUCCUACGGGAGGCAGCAGUGGGGAAUCUACCGAAAUGGACGAAAGUCUAACGGAGCAACGCCGCGUGAGUGAUGACGGCCUUCGGAUUGUAAAGCUCUGUUAAUCGGGACGCGGUACCGGAAUAGAAAGCCACGGCUAACUACGUGCCAGCAGCCGCGGUAAUAC
rnacentral:rRNA from 1 species